UGAGUAAUGAUAAUGAGAAUUACAAAUGCCACUAGCUUGAGCUGAUCCAGUCCUGAUCAGAUGAAUUUGCUAUAACCCAUCAUACCAUAUUUGACUGUUUUUCGUUUCUACUUUAGUUUUCAAGGAAACGUUUACAGGGCAGUUUAGAAUAACAAACCAAGAAUGGCAGGAUGACCUUCAAGAUGUAAAGUCAGCAGGCUACAAUGAUCUUAAACAGAAGUGCAUCAAAAUAUUAGAAGCUGCAUACUUAGGUGUACCAUACUUGGCUGCCAUAAAAAUUAAGGAUUUCAUUAAGGGAAGCAUCAUAGUGCGGUUUGAGCUAGAAGUCAUUGGUAAAGUACCUGAUCCACUGCUGCCUUUGAGAGAUUAUAUCAAAAGACAAGGAGAAGAGAUCAAUGGCUUACAGAUAGACUACAACCGCAUUCAGAAAUCAAGUGGUAAGAUGGUUU